GAUGAACGCUGGCGGCGUGCCUAAUACAUGCAAGUCGAACGAAACUUCUUUAUCACCGAGUGCCUGCACUCACCGAUAAAGAGUUGAGUGGCGAACGGGUGAGUAACACGUGGGCAACCUGCCCAAAAGAGGGGGAUAACACUUGGAAACAGGUGCUAAUACCGCAUAACCAUAGUUACCGCAUGGUAACUAUGUAAAAGGUGGCUAUACUACCGCUUUUGGAUGGGCCCGCAGCGCAUUAGCUAGUUGGUAGGGUAAAGGCUUACCAAGGCAAUGAUGCGUAGCCGAAGUGAGAGGGUGAUCGGCCACAUUGAGACUGAGACACGGCCCAAACUCCUACGGGAGGCAGCAGUAGGGAAUCUUCCACAAUGGGCGAAAGCCUGAUGGAGCAACGCCGCGUGGGUGAAGAAGGUCUUCGGAUCGUAAAACCCUGUUGUUAGAGAAGAAAGUGCGUGAGAGUAACUGUUCACGUUUCGACGGUAUCUAACCAGAAAGCCACGGCUAACUACGUG
rnacentral:rRNA from 1 species